AAUAUCAAAGGUGAGCCAGUACAGGAUGGACCCGCGUCUGAUUAGCUAGUUGGUAAGGUAACGGCUUACCAAGGCGACGAUCAGUAGCCGACCUGAGAGGGUGAUCGGCCACAUUGGAACUGAGACACGGUCCAAACUCCUACGGGAGGCAGCAGUGGGGAAUAUUGCACAAUGGGCGAAAGCCUGAUGCAGCAACGCCGCGUGAGUGAUGAAGGCCUUCGGGUCGUAAAACUCUGUCCUCAAGGAAGAUAAUGACGGUACGUGAGGAGGAAGCCCCGGCUAACUACGUGCCAGCAGCCGCGGUAAUACGUAGGGGGCUAGCGUUAUCCGGAUUUACUGGGCGUAAAGGGUGCGUAGGCGGUCUUUCAAGUCAGGAGUGAAAGGCUACGGCUCAACCGUAGUAAGCUCUUGAAACUGGGAGACUUGAGUGCAGGAGAGGAGAGUGGAAUUCCUAGUGUAGCGGUGAAAUGCGUAGAUAUUAGGAGGAACACCAGUUGCGAAGGCGGCUCUCUGGACUGUAACUGACGCUGAGGCACGAAAGCGUGGGGAGCAAACAGGAUUAGAUACCCUGGUAGUCCACGCUGUAAACGAUGAGUACUAGGUGUCGGGGGUUACCCCC
rnacentral:rRNA from 1 species